AAAAAGUUUUAUUUUAGCUUAUAAUUUUUAGUUAUAAUUAAUUUUACAUGUAUAUAUUAGUAUUCAAAGAUUUUAAUUUAAAUAAUAAUUAUCCAUUAGUUAUGCAGUUUAAAAUUUUAUAUAUUAAGUUAUUUUAGAUUUAGUAAAUUAUUAUAGUAUUAACAAAAUUUGUGCCAGCAGUUGCGGUUAUACAAAUAAUGCAAUAAAAAUUUCUUGGAAUUAGUUAAUUUAAAUAAAUUAUAAUAUUAAAAUAAAAAAAUUUUAAAGUGAAAUUUGAAUUUUUUAUUAAUAUAUAUUUAUAUUGAUGAAGCUUAGAAAUUUAAAAUUAAACUAGGAUUAGAUACCCUAUUAUUAUAUCUGUAAUUUAUUUUCUUAUUGAUUAAUAGAUAUGAUCUUUAAAAUUAAAAAUUUUGGCGGUAUUUUAGUCUUUUCAGAGGAACCUGUUCUAUAAUCGAUAAUCCACGAUUUAAUAUACUUAAUUUAAUUAAUUUAUAUAUCAUCGUAGUUGAAUAUUUUAUAAGAAUAUAAUAUUCAAAAAUUUAAAUUAAAAAGUAAAUCAGAUCAAGAUAUAGUUUAUAAUUAAGAAGAAAUGGGUUACAAUAAAAAUAUUUAUACAGUUUUAAUAAUUUAAAUUAUUAAAUAAGGUGGAUUUGAAAGUAAUAAAUUAAAAUUAUUUUUUAUGAUUUUAGCUCUAAAAUAUGCACAUAUCGCCCGUCGCUUUCAUUAUUAAAAUGAAAUAAGUCGUAACAAAGUAAAUAUACUGGAAAGUGUAUUUAGAAGGUA
rnacentral:ncRNA from 1 species